rnacentral:rRNA from 1 species
UGGGGAAUCUUGCGCAAUGGGCGGAAGCCUGACGCAGCAACGCCGCGUGUGGGAAGACGGCUUUCGGGUUGUAAACCACUUUCAGGGGGGACGCGGUACCCCCAGAAGAAGCCCCGGCUAACUACGUGCCAGCAGCCGCGGUAAUACGUAGGGGGCGAGCGUUGUCCGGAAUCAUUGGGCGUAAAGCGCGUGUAGGCGGCUUGGUAAGUCUGGUGUGAAACCUUGGGGCUCAACCCCAAGCCUGCACUGGAUACUGCCUGGCUUGAGUCCGGGAGGGGAGAGCGGAAUUCCUAGUGUAGCGGUGAAAUGCGCAGAUAUUAGGAAGAACACCGGUGGCGAAGGCGGCUCUCUGGAACGGUACUGACGCUGAGACGCGAAAGCGU